rfam:Vigna angularis cultivar Jingnong 6 scaffold347_5, whole genome shotgun sequence.
AAUCCAUGAUUAGGACAACUUUUAAGUAAGGCUUUGCACCUCUCCCAUGCUUCGCAGAAGUGGUCAUCUACUCCUUGGGAGAAGGUUGCAGUGGUAGUUUUGUAACU